UACGGAGGGUGCGAGCGUUGUCCGGAAUCACUGGGCGUAAAGGGCGCGUAGGCGGCUGGGGGAGUCGGCGGUGAAAACCCGGGGCUCAACUCCGGACUUGCAUUCGAUACGGGCAGGCUAGAGUUCGGUAGGGGAGUCUGGAAUUCCUGGUGUAGCGGUGAAAUGCGUAGAUAUCGGGAGGAACACCUGUGGCGAAAGCGGCUCACUGGACCACAACUGACGCUGAGGCGCGAAAGCUAGGGGAGCAAACAGG
rnacentral:rRNA from 1 species